CUUAACUCCCAAACUCAGGCAAUCCUCCUGCCUUGGCCUCCCAAAGUGCUGGGAUUACAGGCAUGAGCCACUACACCCAGCCAAGCUUUGCAUUUUAAACUAAGGAUUUUGAAAAUUAACCUGAAAGCUAUGGGAAGCCAUCAAAGGAUUUCAAGGAGGAAGUGAUUUUUUAUUUAGGUUCUGGUAGCAGCAUAAAAAAUAGAUUGGAAGGGGUCAGACUGGAGGCCAGUUAAGCCAAGUAAAGAGUGAUGUGUGCAGAAGCAAUGGGGGAAGAAAGGAUGAGACCACAUCUGACUGGUUGUGGGCAGUAAGUGAGAGGGGGAGAGCUAGGAUGAUGUCCUGGUUUCCAGUUUGAGUUCCAGUAACAGAAAUGGUUUUGCCAUUCACUAAGUUAAAAAAUAUAGAGUAAGAAGCAGAUUUGGGGUAAAAGGUCCCCCUCACUCAGAAAUUGGCUGAUUUGUAUGGCAACAGAACAAGGGAACAUGGGCCGGGUGCGGUGGCUCACGCCUGUAAUCCCAGGACUUUGGGAGGCUGAGGUGGGCGGAUUGCUUGAGCUCAGGAGUUUGAGACCAGCCUGGGCAAUGUGGCGAAACCCAUCUCUACCAAAAAUACAAAAAAAUUAGCCUGGUAUGGUGGCGCACAUCUGUGGUCCCAGGAGGCUAAGGUGGGAGCAUCCCUUGAGCCUGGAGGGUGGUAGUUGCAGUGAGCCGAGAUUGCACCACUGCACUCCAGUCUGAGUGACAGAGUGAGACUAUGUCUCAAAAAAGAAAAAAAGGAACAAGGGAGCAUGAAUAGGAGAGUGAUAAUGUUAAUGAAUUGAUUUACUCUGUAGUUCAGCCUGGUGGGAGAAGGGAAUCAGUCCUGGUUGAUAGCCAGAAACAGACCAGGUAGAGUGGAGGCAUUGGAAGUCUCUAAGUUAAGGAUCAGGUUUAGUGGGAGAUGUAAAAGGCUAGGAGUCUGGGUUUAGAGAAUGGGACUUUUGAGUUUAAAAUUUCAUAUGUGGUGCUUUGGAAGUGUUUGUUUUAUCUGUUUCCUCCUGAAAUGGUACGUUUAUUUGUAGGAGCAUUUUUCUAGAGAGAGGACCUAUACCUUUCAUCAGAUUCUCAAGGUUGUUGAUGACCAUACCGCCCCUCCCACCAUAAAAGUUAAGAAUUGGCAUUAGAUGGCACCAUUUUUACCUAAUUCUCAUGUUUUUAGGCAUACCUGCCAUCCAAAUGUUGUGCAAACGUAAGGCCAAUGUUUAUAGAAUUUUACUCAGGAGCCCAGAAUAUGAAAGGAAAAAAAUAAAAGCACAGUGGCAAAAACGUGGGCUGACAGGUUAACAAUGUAUUAAUAGUUCACUUUCUCCAAUGUUUCCUCCCAUUUAAAAAAUUGGGGCAGGCUGAGUGCAGUGGCUCAUGGUUGUAAUCUCAGCACUUUGGGAGAUCGAGGCGGAGGAAUCACUUGAGCCCAGGAGUUUGCGACCAGCCUGGGUAACAUAGGGAGACCCCAUCUCUACUAAAAAUGAAAAAAUUCAGCUGGGUAUGGUGGCUCAGCACUUUGGGAAGCCCAAGAGGGAGGAUUGCUUGAGGGCCAGGAGUGCAAGCCCAGCCUGGGCAAUACAGUGAGACCUCAUCUCGGUUUUUUGUAAAAAAAUAAAAAUAAAAAUAAAUAAAUUAGCCGGGCAUGGUGGCACAUGCCUGUGGUCCCAGCUACUUGGGAAGUUAAGGUGGGAGGAUCACUUGAGCCUGGGAGGUUGAGGCUGCAGUGAGCUGUGAUCGUAUCACUGCACUCCAGUCUGGGUGACAGAGUGAGACUCCAUCUCCAGAAAAAAAAGAAAAGAAAAAUUGGGGCAAAUGGGAUUGUAUGCAUUGGCAAGCAACUUGGUAUACAGCAUCAUUUAUAUUUGUAGAUAUAUAGAUGUACAUCUGUUUAUUUUAAUAUUGCAGUCUUUUUUUUUUUUUUGAGAUGGGGUCUCACUCUGUCGCCCAGGCUGGAUUGCAGUGGUGCAAUCACGGCUCACUGCAGCCUCGACUUACCAAGUUCAAGCAAGCCUCCCACCUCAGCCUCCUGAGUAGCGAGACUAUGGACAUGUGCCACUAGACCCGGCUAAUUUUUGAAAACAAUUUUUUGUAGAGAUGAGAUCUCACCGUGUUGCCCAGUUAGGUCUUAAUCUUCUGGGCACCAUGUGAUCUUCUCACCUUGGCCUCCCAUACUGCUGGGUUUUCAGGUGUGAGCCAUUAAACCUGGCCAAGCCUUUGCUUUUUUAGGAAGGAUUUUAGAUUUAUUUCUAAACUUCAGUGGACAAUAAGAUCAAAGAAGCUCUUCCUCUGGGAUUAGAUUUAGUAAUCUGUUCCCAUAACCUGAUAGGCAAGAUAGAAUUAAUUAGAUGGUGUUUCUUUUAUAGUUCUAAUACUACCUGCUUAGCUUGACAGAUAAGAUGGGAGCCAAGAUUAGAGAGAUUUAGAAAACCAUGUUUAUAUCCACAAGCAGUCUGUCUGGAACUUUUUUGUAGCAAUUGAAGCAAGUGCUUCUCAUGAGGGUGCUGAACUUUUUGUUAGGUACAAAAAUAAGAAUUUUGCAAACUAUUUUUUUUACGACAGAAGCCUUUAAAAUAUACCAAAUCUUCAGAAAACAUUAUAAUGUAUAAUAAUCCAGAUGGGUUGGUUUGAGUGCAGUGGUGUUUACAGUGAACUGAUCACAGCCAGUUAUAGAUUUUUGUUCCUCCUCCACUCCCACUGCUUCAAUUGACUAGGCUAAAAAAAAAAAAAAAAAUCCAGAUGAUUGGAAUUUCAAGGCUACAUUUAUAGAAGUAAAAUAUCUUUUCUGAUAGAAAAAUAAACAUUCUGUUCCUCUUACAAAUGCUUAAGGAAGCAGGCCUUGACCAGAGUGAGAGACUGUGUGGAGAAGUUCCAGUGCUCAACACUGGCAGUUUUAUGGUUUAUGAAGCACCUUUUGUGUUUAUCUCAUUUCAUCCUCAUAAGAAUCCUGGGAGAUGUAGGUGGUGGUAUCCUCUUUUACUAAGUUAAUAAUGAUAUUAGAUGCAAUGAUGAGAUCUGGAUUCAAAUAUUCUGACUCCAAACCUCAUGGUUUUCCACUGCACCACAAAGCAGGUAAAAGUGUCGAGGCAGCACUGACAGCCCUAAAUACAGAGAUGAGCGGCUUAAAUUCGAUUUUAUCAUUAGUAGGUACUUUCAUAAUUUUGAGUUGUGAGAAUAGCCAAAUUAAACUGUUACUUCAGGCCAGGUGCAGUGGCUCAUGCCUCUAAUCCCAGCACUUAGGGAGGCCGAGGUAGGCAGAUCACUUGAGGCCAGGUUUUGGAGACCAGCCUGGCUAACAUGGCAAAACCCCGUCUUUACUAAAAAUACAAAAAUUAGCUGGGUGUGGUGGCAGAUGCCUGUAAUUCCAGAUACCCAGGAGACUGAGGCAGGAGAAUUGCUUCAACUUGGGAGGUAGAAGUUGCAGUGAGCCAAGAUCGCACCACUGCAUUCUACCCUGGGUGACAGAGCAAGACUCCGUCUCAAAAUAAAUAAAUACAAAUAAACUGUUAAGAAAGAUUGUCCUCAUUCUGGAAAUGGUGAGUAGGAAGACAGGAGGAGUGAAGGUGUGGAGGUAUGGAGACCAACAUGUAGCAUUGUUAGGUAUUAGACACUAUGCUUUAGAUCAGAUAUUGGUGCUUAUCUAGGAAGCCACUUCUUUGUACCCCAGGAAAAUUGCUUGCUAAGCUUCUCUUUUUGCCAUGCUAUGUUAGUGGGGUGAAUUGGACAAAGAAGGGCAAGGAAGAUUGAGUCAGUUGCAAAAGGAGUGUUUUUCUACUGUUUUAUCUAGACUUAGUGUCUUCCCUACUUUCCUGUCAUAUCCUUUGAGUAACUAGGCAAUAACUGGCAAGUUCUCACACAAAUGGUUUGUCAUUCCAGCCAUCCCUGGUCAACUUAUACAAAUAGUUAUCCAGGCACUAGUUCUCAAACUAAGGUGAUGGUGAUAGCUGUGGAAAUGGAGUGGAAGGGACAAAUGAGAGGUAUGUAGAAGUGAUGGUUGUAGCGGGCCAUCUGGAGCGGCUGCUACAAGGAUGCCAGCUACAGUAGGGGAGGCAUGGCCAGGGCUGCACACUCUGUAGAGUCCACAGGGGCUGGGAACAGGAAGGAGCCCUGUGCCCUACUGAGUUGGUGGGGCACCAGCCCUGCACUCCUGGGCACAGCUGCAGCUGGCCAGCCACGGUUCUGGACCUGGGCAUCCCUGUGCUCUUGGAAGUCUGGGAAACCCCCUUCCCCAACAGG
rnacentral:lncRNA from 1 species